GAUGAACGCUGGCGGCGUGCUUAACACAUGCAAGUCGAACGGAAAGGCCCAAGCUUGCUUGGGUACUCGAGUGGCGAACGGGUGAGUAACACGUGGGUGAUCUGCCCUGCACUUCGGGAUAAGCCUGGGAAACUGGGUCUAAUACUGGAUAGGACCACUUCUUGGAUGUUGUGGUGGAAAGUUUUUUCGGUGUGGGAUGAGCUCGCGGCCUAUCAGCUUGUUGGUGGGGUAAUGGCCUACCAAGGCGUCGACGGGUAGCCGGCCUGAGAGGGUGUACGGCCACAUUGGGACUGAGAUACGGCCCAGACUCCUACGGGAGGCAGCAGUGGGGAAUAUUGCACAAUGGGCGCAAGCCUGAUGCAGCGACGCCGCGUGGGGGAUGACGGCCUUCGGGUUGUGAACUCCUUUCGCUAGGGACGAAGCGUUUUGUGACGGUACCUGGAGAAGAAGCACCGGCUAACUACGUG
rnacentral:rRNA from 1 species